rnacentral:lncRNA from 1 species
CCCAGAGGGAGCUCGUCCCAGACAAUCAGGAGGAAAAGAGAGGUAGCGAGAAAGAGAUGGAGACUUGCUAUGGUGGCCAGCCAUCCCGGGAAGAGGGAAUGGCGGUCCACGCAUGGGACCCAGCCUCUGAUCAAGCCCAGCAGGCGCUGGCCGGCUGUAUGGCCUCAGCCCCAGCUCCCACCCGCACCUCUCCCUCCACACCUCCCUGCAGCAGAGGGAGCUGGCUCCAGCCUUGGCCAGCCCCAGAGAGGGGCCUCCACAGUGCAGCCGCGUGCUGAAGGGCUCUUCAAGCGUGGCCAGAGCAGACGCCAAGGCCGAGGAGACGCAGAGAAGAAGCAAGGGCUGCUAACAUGUUGUCACCUCUCAAGAGAAUCCCAGCCCACAAGGACAAAAGAAUAGUAUAAGGACACGAAAUGAGCACAACAGAGAAAUAACCCACUAGAAGCCAAGGGGAUGAGUGGAAAGUGCUCCAGUGAUGGAGGAGCCCAGUAAAGCUUAAUGAGCGGGACGGGAGAAGUUAAAGAUCCAGGUGUAGAAACUGAGAAGCAGCAGCUCAUGCCCAACUCCCUGACCCACUUCUGGAUUCCAGGAACUAUGAUGUUCAAGUCUUGGGAGACAGAAUCUUUAAAUGUCAUGAAACUUUUGAGGAAGUGAGCCACAUGACUUAAUACUAGUCCUGGAUCCACAAAAGAGGCUGCCAUAUAUUCAUUUCUCCACUUAAUAUUUAUUAAGUACUUCUUAGACGUUCGGCAGUAUUCUCAAUGGUGGAAUAAAACAGCAAACGAGUUGCUGCUAUCACGGGACUUACAUUUCUUUGGAAAAGACAGAAACAAGUCAAAUGGCAAAAUAAACAAGACUACUUCAGUUAAUGUUAGGAAACAAAUAAGCAGGGUAAAAGGAAUCUAGAAUGAUUAAGAUCAUGCACGACUUUCUAGUCUCAGACUGCCUCUCUAAAGACGUGAGAAAAGGAAAGUAGACCCUACUGCUAUUCCAAUCACAAUGUUCUUAAGAUAACAUGAACAGUGUUUCCAACAAACACAGAGGGGCCAACAAUACAUGUUUCUAACAG